AAUCUUUACAUGAUGGUCGAUCUACCUUCCUAAGUAGGAAGAAGUCUACUUGACUUUUGCAUGCCGUACUUUUAUAGAUUAUUGAAUGUUCAUCUUAUUUUUGGAAGUAAGUAUUUGCUAUUGCCAGGUCAUAGGCCAAAACAAAUUUUAUAAUAGCCUCACUCAUCUCAUUUAUUCUACUAAACUCAUAUCCCCAUGUAUCCCUUCCUAUCCUCUACUAUCCUUCCGUACAUGACUAUUUAAAGCCCCUCUUAAAAAGGUCCUUUCCUCCCACAAUUGUCUCGUAAUUCUAUCUUUUAGUCCUACU
rnacentral:lncRNA from 1 species